rnacentral:rRNA from 1 species
AUGGACGUGCACUCAGCUCCGUCUUGCCCUGCCGACGCGAGGGCACCUGUUGAGCAUCUAAUAGGGCAGUUUGCAUCUGGAAUGACCGGCUUGCUCGGGAAGUUGGUUGAGGGUUCCCAAGAGCCCGCUGACACACAAGAUGAACUAGGUGGAGAUGCUGGUCUCAGCAAGGAUCACGACGAUGUCAUGGAGAAUGUGCAAGAGGACACCGAUGAUGAUGAUCAUGCUGAAGUUCACGCAGGUGGUAACAAGGGCAAGGAUGCAACAGAUGUCCCCCGACCGGAGAAAGUCAAACAACACACGGCUGCGAGAGGCGAGGGGGUUUUGCCAUCAAAGAGGGGGAGGGCUCCAGAGGGUGUUGGGCAGGGUUCUGCUGGCAAGAGGUCUAGGACCGACCCCGUAGCUCGCGGCAACGACGAGCCGACAGCUGGUGGACAAGCAGUUACGAAGAAACAGGCGCCAACGCCAACCCGUGUUUCUGCUCGGUUGAACAAAGGCGCCCCCAUUGCCGGUGACACCCCUUCCAUCAGGUCAUCUCCUCGCACGACGAUGACCAACAUCGGGGAUCCUGUCGUGUUGCCAGACAUGAGGAAGGUAGUCAAGAAGGUGAAGAAGACUACUACGCGCGGGGCCAAGCAUAUCAGUAAGGACCCGCUCGAACGCCUGCAUUCAAAGUUGUCAAUAGGGGGCAACUCAGAUGUACAUGAAGCACCAGGCGACAAUACUGCUGCUGCACCAUUGACCGCUCCCACCAACUCUGAUAGGCAUCCGUACAGCGGGGAGUGA